rnacentral:sRNA from 1 species
AAGUAAUGGUACUUAAAUAAUUUAUUUUUCUUUUCCUUUUUUGAAGGCCCAAGGAGGUGAUAGCAUUUUGCAGAGAUUGAAAAGGAUAGUAUUUGAUGCCAAAUCUACUAUUGUGUCUAUAUUCAAGAGCUCACCACUGAUGGGCUGCUUUCUCUUUGGCCUGCCACUGGGUGUCAUCAGUAUCAUGUGCUAUGGAAUCUACACAGCCGACACAGAUGGAGGUUAUAUAGAAGAACGAUAUGAAGUGUCUAAAAGUGAAAAUGAAAACCAAGAACAGGUAGAAGAGAGCAAAGAACAGCAGGAGCCCAGCAGUGGAGGAUCUGUAGUGCCUACAGCGCAGGAGCCCAAGGAUGUAUUAGAAAAGAAGAAAGAUUGAGACUUGAUGACUAUAAAAUAUUUGAUAGGACUUCAAAUUAUUAAAGAGUCUAUUUAUUGAAUUUAGACAUUUAAUCAUGAUCUUUACAGAAAAGAACAUGUUAUUCGUAUUUUGCUAAUAUCAACUGCAUGGAUUAAAGUAGUCCCUCCAUACAUGGGGAAGUGUUUGGAGCAAAGAGAUGAACAGUUUAUCUGAAACAAACACAGAGCACUCCAUCAAAAUU